rnacentral:misc_RNA from 1 species
AUCGAAACGCAAUACGCCACGGAAUGCUUCGGCAUCGGAUGGUAUGGCGAGCUUUCGCCGUCCACGUUUCUCUUUCUUCAUGAAGACAAGAACCGCGUCGACCUAGAGCGAUCUGGGCCGGUUUGACGAGAAUGGGCCCGUAGCUCAGUUGGUUAGAGCACACGCNUGAUAAGNCGUGGG